CCUACGGGAGGCAGCAGUAGGGAAUAUUGCUCAAUGGGGGAAACCCUGAAGCAGCAACGCCGCGUGGAGGAUGAAGGUUUUCGGAUUGUAAACUCCUUUUGUUAGAGAAGAUAAUGACGGUAUCUAACGAAUAAGCACCGGCUAACUCCGUGCCAGCAGCCGCGGUAAUACGGAGGGUGCAAGCGUUACUCGGAUUCACUGGGCGUAAAGAGCGCGUAGGCGGGAUAGCAAGUCAGAUGUGAAAUCCUAGGGCUUAACCAUAGGACUGCAUUUGAAACUGUUAUUCUAGAGUAUGGGAGAGGUAGGUGGAAUUCUUGGUGUAGGGGUAAAAUCCGUAGAGAUCAAGAGGAAUACUCAUUGCGAAGGCGACCUGCUAGAACAUAACUGACGCUGAUGCGCGAAAGCGUGGGGAGCAAACAGGAUUAGAUACCCGUGUAGUC
rnacentral:rRNA from 1 species